ACUGUGGAGAGUACAGGAACUUGUUAGUAGUGUCUGGGCAAUCAGCACAAAAGCAUACUCGUAGAAGCAGUAA
rnacentral:sRNA from 12 species